rnacentral:misc_RNA from 1 species
AAGUCGUAACAAGGUUUCCGUAGGUGAACCUGCGGAAGGAUCAUUAACACGAUCCCGACACGGCCGAAGACCGGGUCCCUGGGUCACCAUGCCCCUUGAUCACCACACUGUAACGCCGACAGGUCGCGAUAAUUCCGCUGACCACAAAAAACCGAACAACUGUUAACAAUGGAUAUCUUGGUUCUC